rnacentral:snoRNA from 1 species
AGCCUCAUUCCAUACGAGAAUGGCACAGUUGAUCGUGGUGUCCAGAACUGAUAAUGUGGCUAAACUGAGACCCUGGUUAUGCUUCCAUCACAGUAAAUUUAUUUCAGUGGUGAGAAUGAGACCUGCAACAUUU